GGAUACCACUUGGAAACAGGUGCUAAUACCGGAUAACAACAAUAGCUGCAUGGCUAUUGCUUAAAAGGCGGCGAAAGCUGUCGCUAAAGGAUGGACCCGCGGUGCAUUAGCUAGUUGGUAAGGUAAUGGCUUACCAAGGCGACGAUGCAUAGCCGAGUUGAGAGACUGAUCGGCCACAUUGGGACUGAGACACGGCCCAAACUCCUACGGGAGGCAGCAGUAGGGAAUCUUCCACAAUGGGCGAAAGCCUGAUGGAGCAACGCCGCGUGAGUGAAGAAGGUUUUCGGAUCGUAAAGCUCUGUUGUUGGUGAAGAAGGAUAGAGGUAGUAACUGGCCCCUAUUUGACGGUAAUCAACCAGAAAGUCACGGCUAACUACGUGCCAGCAGCCGCGGUAAUACGUAGGUGGCAAGCGUUGUCCGGAUUUAUUGGGCGUAAAGCGAGCGCAGGCGGAAAGAUAAGUCUGAUGUGAAAGCCCCCGGCUUAACCGAGGAAUUGCAUCGGAAACUGUGUUUCUUGAGUGCAGAAGAGGAGAGUGGAACUCCAUGUGUAGCGGUGGAAUGCGUAGAUAUAUGGAAGAACACCAGUGGCGAAGGCGGCUCUCUGGUCUGUAACUGACGCUGAGGCUCGAAAGCAUGGGUAGCGAACAGGAUUAGAUACCCUGGUAGUCCAUGCCGUAAACG
rnacentral:rRNA from 1 species